rnacentral:lncRNA from 1 species
UUUCAACUGGUGUGCCAUGAGCAGAGGUGAGUGGUUCUGAAGCCAGCAUGUGUGGGGGCUGUUUGUUGAUGCUGCAGGCCCCUCCCGGAUGGCCAUGAAUGUGGCCUGGUUCUGCUAGCAGGCUUUGGGAGCAGCUCCAGGGAGCCCCUCCUGGGGUCUGUUCUUCAGUGUGUCCAAGCAUCUGGUAAGCCAUUUAGUAGCCCGAGUUGAAUCCUAUUCUGCCUCCACUAGCUCAAGGGGAUUCUUUGCGGCGGAGCCCUGAUGAACGAAUGCAAAUGUGAUGUAGCGGCCAUCUUCAGAGAACUACGCAGAAACCUUGGUAUCUGAAAUGCAGUGUGCAGUGAGGGCUAACCAUGGAGUGAUGGAGUACUGAUAGCCUUCCUGUUCCCAUCUGGUUUAGCCCUAGGGUCUGGGGCCAGGACUUGCUGGAUGUGAGUAGGGCACAGUUGCCCCAACCCCCGGGGCAGAAAAGGGAGCAAUGGCACAGAACUAAUCUGGGCCUCCUAUUGGCUAUGUGCGAGUAGUGAAUUCCAGUUUAUCAGAUCUGGCAGCAAUCCAACAUCCCCACUUUGCGGAAGAAGAAGGUAAAUGACACAAGACAUAUUUAAAAUUACAGGGAACCCACAUCUUGGAUAUCGUGACUGGCUCCUAGUACAUACCAGGAGUAAAUUGUACCCAGAACGGUGUUGCAUAGAAACUCAGGAAAUGGUCCUAGAAUGGAAUAUACAGUCAGCCUUGAACAACACGGUUUGAACUGUGCAGGUUAAUUUAUAUGAAGAUUUUAUUGAAUAAAUAUAGCAUGGUACUGUAAAUGUAUUUUCUCUUCCUUAUGAUAUUAUUAAUAACAUUUUCUUUUCUUUAUUUUAUUGUAAGAACACAGUAUUAUAAGACAUACAACACACAAAAUAUAUUAGUUGAUGGUUAUCAGUAAGGCUUCCAGUCAAUAGUAGGUUAUUAGUAGUUAAGUUUUGGGGGAGUCAAAAGUUACAUGUAGAUUUUUGACUGCAUGGGGGUCAGUAUCCCUAAUCCUCCCGUGUUAUCCAAGAGGCAGUUAUAUUUUAUUUAAAACAAUUUUUUUUAAUGUUUAUUUUUGAGAGAGAGAGAGAGAGACAGAGUGUGAAUGGGGGAGGGGCAGAGAGAGGGACACACAGAAUCUGAAGCAGGCUCCAGGCUCUGAGCUGUCAGCACAGAGCCCGACGCGGGGCUUGAACUCACGGACUGCGAGAUCAUGACAUGAGCUGAAGUCGGACGCUUAACGCUUAACCGACUGAGCCACCCAGGUGCCCCAGUUGUAUUUUAUUCUUAAUCGGUUUCCCCACCACUCACUCCCCUUUAUGUACAGGUGCAUUGAGCCAUCACCGGAUACGAACAUUACAAUGAGGCCACCAAGAAGCAACAGUUACUAUUAUUGUAACCUGGGGGAGAGCAGCUUCCAAGAAAUCUUACAAAAGACUUGUGGCCAUUUUCCUAUGUAUCAAGAAAAUGUGAAAGCCAUCUCCUCGGGACCAAAUUUACACUGAUCGAUGAAGUGCUUCGCCAAUUUAGACAGUAAGAGGUUGUUUAAUUAUAGCAGGGUAGCGGUGCAUAUUACACCAAACAUUUGUUUUACAUCUGAAAGCCCUGGAAAUGGAAAUUAAUAGAUUCACGCAGGAAUGAACUUACUUGUGGGGGCCCAGUGAUUCUGAGUAGACCAGCAAUUACUCAUUUUUCUUUGAAUUCAUUUCUGUGAUGGAAACACAAAAAAGUGAUUUCAAGAAGGAAAAUCGUUGCAUGGAAAUCUGGCAAGUUUUCACAAGGACUGAAUUGCUCUUUUG